rnacentral:rRNA from 1 species
GACGAACGCUGGCGGCGUGCUUAACACAUGCAAGUCGAACGGAAAGGCCCUGCUUUUGUGGGGUGCUCGAGUGGCGAACGGGUGAGUAACACGUGAGUAACCUGCCCUUGACUUUGGGAUAACUUCAGGAAACUGGGGCUAAUACCGGAUAGGAGCUCCUGCUGCAUGGUGGGGGUUGGAAAGUUUCGGCGGUUGGGGAUGGACUCGCGGCUUAUCAGCUUGUUGGUGGGGUAGUGGCUUACCAAGGCUUUGACGGGUAGCCGGCCUGGGAGGGUGACCGGCCACAUUGGGACUGAGGUACGGCCCAGACUCCUACGGGAGGCAGCAGUGGGGAAUAUUGCACAAUGGGCGGAAGCCUGAUGCAGCAACGCCGUGGGCGGGAUGACGGCCUUCGGGUUGUAAACCGCUUUCGCUCAUGACGAAGCUUUGUGUGACGGUAGUGGGUAAAGAAGCACCGGCUAACUACGUG